rnacentral:tmRNA from 1 species
ACUGGAUUUCGACGGGGGAUGAAUUGGCGAGAGUAGCGAGCCGGGGUUCCAUCAGCCCGUUAAACGGUGGAAAUUAAUUUAAACGCUAACGAUAAUUACGCUUUAGCUGCUUAAUGCAGCUAACAUCCUACCCUCUGCUCCUGCGGUGAGGAAUAGGGUGUCAUUUUAGCAGGAUACUCUGAUCCCAAUUCUCGGAGGGAUCAGGGGAAAUUCAUCGAGAUAGCGACCGCGCAGGCUGUUUGUGGCCGGCAAGGGAGCGAAAUCUAAAGCACAAACUGCGCUCGGAGAAGCUUUUGUGGGUUCUCUUUCGGACAGGGGUUCGAUCA